rnacentral:misc_RNA from 1 species
GAUGAAGAACGCAGCGAAAUGCGAUAAGUAAUGUGAAUUGCAGAAUUCAGUGAAUCAUCGAAUCUUUGAACGCACAUUGCACCCCUUGGUAUUCCGAGGGGCAUGCCUGUUCGAGCGUCAUUAUAACCCUCAAGCUCAGCUUGGUGUUGGGGCCUGCUGCACUGGCAGCCCUUAAAAUCAGUGGCGGCGCCAUCUGGCUCUAAGCGUAGUAAUUCUUCUCGCUAUGGAGUCCUGGUGGAUGCUUGCCAUCAACCCCCAAUUUUUCUAUGGUUGACCUCGGAUCAGGUAGGGAUACCCGCUGAACUUAAGCAUAUCAAUAAGCGGAGGA